CGUAGGUGGCGAGCGUUGUCCGGAAUUACUGGGUGUAAAGGGCGUGUAGGCGGGAAUGCAAGUCAGAUGUGAAAUGCCGAGGCUUAACCUCGGAGCUGCAUCUGAAACUGUGUUUCUUGAGUGUCGGAGAGGAAAGUGGAAUUCCCAGUGUAGCGGUGAAAUGCGUAGAUAUUGGGAGGAACACCAGUGGCGAAGGCGACUUUCUGGACGAUAACUGACGCUGAGGCGCGAAAGCGUGGGGAGCAAACAGGAUUAGAUACCCUGGUAGUCCACGCCGUAAACGAUGGAUACUAGGUGUAGGAGGUAUCGACCCCUUCUGUGCCGCAGUUAACACAAUAAGUAUCCACCUGGGGAGUACGGCCGCAAGGUUG
rnacentral:rRNA from 1 species